GAGGGUAUAGCUCAGUGGCAGAGUGCAUGCUUAGCAUGCACAAGGUCCUGGGUUCAACACCCAACACCUCCA
rnacentral:tRNA from 1 species